GGGAGAUGAUGAGCUUCUCAUUGGUCCGUGUUUCUGAUCCAACCUUGACUGAAACUCUUUAACCAAUCUCUGAUCCC